rnacentral:rRNA from 1 species
UACAGAGGUCCCAAGCGUUGUUCGGAUUCACUGGGCGUAAAGGGUGCGUAGGUGGCCAGGUAAGUUCGAUGUGAAAUCUCCGGGCUUAACCCGGAAAGUGCAUUGAAUACUAUCUGGCUAGAGGGUUGGAGGGGGGCUGGAAUUCUCGGUGUAGCAGUGAAAUGCGUAGAUAUCGAGAGGAACACCAGUGGCGAAGGCGAGUCCCUGGACAACUCCUGACACUGAGGCACGAAAGCUAGGGGAGCAAACAGG